rnacentral:misc_RNA from 1 species
UCUCCGUUGGUGAACCAGCGGAGGGAUCAUUGCUGGAACGCGCCCCAGGCGCACCCAGAAACCCUUUGUGAACUUAUACCUUACUGUUGCCUCGGCGCAUGCCGGCCCCCCCGGGGGCCCCUCGGAGACGAGGAGCAGGCACGCCGGCGGCCAAGUUAACUCUUGUUUUUACACUGAAACUCUGAGAAAAAAACACAAAUGAAUCAAAACUUUCAACAACGGAUCUCUUGGUUCUGGCAUCGAUGAAGAACGCAGC